CCCCGGCGACACAAGUGGUUAUCACGAUUAUUGGGCCUAAAGCGUUCGUAGCCGGUCUGGUAAAUCUCUUGUUAAAUUGUUCGGCUUAACCGGACAGCGUGCAGGAGACACUGCCAGACUCGAGACCGGGAGGGGUUAGAAGUAUUCCAUGGGGACUGGUAAAAUGGGAUAAUCCAUGGAAGACUACCGAUGGCGAAGGCAUCUAACCAGAGCGGAUCUGACGGUGAGGAACGAAAGCCAGGGGAGCGAACCGG
rnacentral:rRNA from 1 species